GUAGAAGGUUGGGUAGUAGUUCCGGUAUAUGGUAUAUGAAUGUAUAUCCGGAGUGAAUAUCUCUGGAAGAUCAGAAAGUGCCCCCGUUUUCCACCCCUUCCCCGGCGGUAGACGGGGUUGAGAGCCGUGGGCUUUGGUUGUGGUCUGAUGUGGAAACGGAAUAUACUGGAAUGUGUAUUUUAAAAGUGUGGACCUACUGCAUGUCGAAAAUACACUUAUAUUUUUAUCAGAAGUGUAAUAUAUUGCCAUAUCUUAAAGUGGACGUAAUUCGUACAUUUGUCAAUAUAUUAUUAAAUAUAUUUGUAUUGCAACACUUAUUUCAGUAUAUUUUACACACACACACACACACACACACAGACAUCCAAAUACAAUACACUUUGCUGGGUUGUUCAUUUGCCGAGAAAGGAAACGAAGUCAUCACCAAAUGGUCUGUGUAGACAAAAGGUUAUUCUAUUUUUACAUUUCCUGAUAUGACAAGCGCAGUGCUAAUACCGCUGUUAAAAGAAACUGUUAAAGAUACCGCGGGGAAUCCGUUGAUUAAAAUGAAAGCACUGGUCGAAUUUUUGUAAAAUGGUAGCUGUAUAACGCAUGUCACUUAAAUCACAUAAACACGUCCCCACCUCUCUAAUGCCGGCCAAGAGUUUAUGAUAUUCAUGUGAUAUUUUUGGUCUCUAUGGUUUUGAUAUUAUUGCUUAAUUACUUAUUGGAGAGAUUUAAAAAAAACCUCUAACAAAUGAAACCCUUUUUCCGGUUGCUGUCUCGCUAUUUUACGCGUCACCUCGCUCACUGGGUAGGUAAAGUGCGCGUUGGUAUCCAGUGGAAACGGGUUGUGACUGUGCUGUGGGGUCCGCGUGCCGUGUUGUGCUUUUGAAGAACUGCGAGGUGAGAGGGAAGCUACGAGCCCAUUUUAACCGUGACACCUGCUGUUUUUGGCCACCCAGCUGUUCAACAACCGCUUUCAAAUUUUUAUUUUGCCACCUGCUUGUUCUCGCUCCAGUGCCUGCUUCCUUUUUUCGAAUUUACAUUUCAUUUUUGUGGCGCAGUUUGAACUCACUUUGCAAGCCCUCUAUAGCACUUUUUGGUUCAGUGAGAGGAGGAGGUGCAGUGAGAAGAGGAGGCCCAGUGAAAGGAGGAGUUGCAGUGAAAUGAGGAUCUGCAGUGAGAAGAGGAGGAGGAGGCGCAGCAAGAGGAGGAGGUGCAGUGGGCAGGGUCUUUAGUCUGAUUGCGGAACUGUGGGGGACUUACCUUGUGUAUGUUAGCCACAUCUUCAUCAAGUAAAACCCUGCAGUCACAGACACUCUCAUGCACACACACACACACACACACUCUCUCUCUCACACACAUACACGUACACACAGACACUCACAAACACAGAGUCACAGAUACUCUCACACACACAUGCACACACACACAUACUCAUACUCACACACACACGUACACACAUACAGUCUCACACACAUACACGCACACAGAGUCACAGACACUCACACACACGCAUGCAGUCACAGACACUCUCACACACAUACAUGCACACACACACACGUACACACAGACACUCACACACAUGCACGCACACACACACUCACACUCUCUCUCACACACACACACACUCUCACACACAUGCACACACACACACAUACACACAGAUGCAUACAAACACACACAGGUACACAUACACUCACACACAUGCAUACAAACACACACAGGUACACAUACACACACUCUCUCACACACACAUGUACCCACACAUUCCCUCAAACACAUGCUUGUGCACACACACGCACACACACACUUACACACAUUCACAUACUGUUUGUGUGUCUGUGUGAGAUAGAGUAUGUCACACUCAUACACACUCUCCCUCACACAGACUUUCUCACACACACAUGUACACACACACUCUAAAUGGUUUUAUGAUAAAAUAAAAACCCAGUAAAUAUAUUUGGUUUGACAUAUGUACAGUUGGAUGUUGGAUGCAUCUACCUAAAAAGGCUAUGUAGGGUCUGGUAUAUAACACACUUGGUACAUUUCCCAGGUUUAAAUUCAGUGGUGAAUAACCGUCCCUCCAAAACCCUCCGAUUUCAAGCAGGUCGGAGGAUUACAGGUUACCGGACGUACAGUCGGCUGUUUGGUGUUAAUGAACUGCAAUGCGCCUCUGUGAACACUAGAUGGCAGUGGUAUAUGUCUGCACAUGUUUAUAUGCGGACGCACAGCCUCACACACAAAGCCAGCUGUUUCUGGUAAAAUGACGACGAAUGGAUACAUGGUUAUACUGAAACUCUUUUUUUGUGUGUGGUUUUUUUUUUCACGAAAAUCUAAAUAAAGUGUCCAUAAUAAUGAUUUUGUAGCCUUCGGUUUGUUCUGCGUGUUUUCGUAGGAAACUGCCAAUGAUUAGGCAUUGCAUCGUUUUUUUAUUUUUACAAUUAGCGUUUCUUCACGACGGCUUAUAUACAUAUUCAAAGACGUGCUCCAAUGUUGGUAUUUCUUUUAAGAAAAGUCGAACAAAUGAGGAAUAAAAUUAAUCCUACAUUUAUAUUUUAAAUUCGCGUAGGACAAACAAUUUGCAGUCACAUAUGUAUAGUGUCGUCCUUGCAUUCGUACCCCACGAUAUCAGAUGUUCCUGCAAGAUUAUUUUUUAAUGACUGAAUUUUAAAUUUUGCUUACCAGCAUGUCGUGUUCUUCAAUAAAAAAGCGAGAAGACAUUGUAA